CUCCUCUCAGGAUUGCACCAGGAGAGUUUCCAGUACUCUUCCAGUCUCAGAUACAAGAGGGAAAGUCAAGCAGAGGGAUACCCGUUCCAUUCCUAGCUUGAGCAGUGGCUAGCGAGUGGAAAGCAAUCUGCUACCAGU